GUGGAGCGAAAGGCGGAUGCACCCCCGUACGUGCCUGAGUUCUUAGCCAAUGCACGAGGGCCAACGAAGAAGUGGAUCCUACAGUUCCAGCCGACGUACAUCCACCCACAAGCCAACGCAUACGCGGUCUCGAGACAUUUGGAGGCCUACCUCCUUUGGUUGUUUGGGUGGGUGAUGUUCACUAGUGGCCAAGGCCACCUGGUUACGAGGACCCUUGUGCCGUACGCCCGGUCGAUAGCGGACGCGCAUGCAGAGGAUGUACCGCAGUUCAGCUGGGCAUCAGCUGUUCUUGCUGCGACGUAUCGGGCGCUCUGCGACGCAUGCAUGAAGAAGGAGGCGCUAGCCACUUUUGCCGGGUGUCCACUUCUUCUUCAGCUAUGGUCGUACGAGCAUUUCGCCAUAGGUAGGCCGGUGGUGGAUCGCUCCCCGUACCCAGAGGAGUGGUACGGCGAGAUGGAAGAGGACGCGCCGACAAUGGCCUCGCUGUGGUGUCGUCGACGGCCACACUGGGCCCACGAGCAGCCUCGCAGCGCGUACGAGCAUUUUCGUAC